CCUGCCCGACAUAUACUGCUUGUAAGUUUGUAUUUACCUAUGUAGGCUACGUUUAGUGUUGAGACUUUAAGACUGAAGUGGCUCAAUAGGCCAAUACUACGCCUAAUUGCAACCCUACCUCCACUUACUCAGUGUGUUACAUCGAUCCCAUCAUCAUUCACCAGUAUUCAGUAACCCUAAACCUUUUAAUGCCUUUUACUUGUUUCUUUCAUUUCUAAGGCUUUGUUGUGCCGCCGCUCGUAAAAGUCUGACUCUCCUUCUGUUCGUCGGAGACAGUGAGACUUUACGCUGAUAUUGUCAUUUGUAAAUGUGAUUUUUCGUUGCCUUCUUCCGUUCUUCGUUCUUUUCUUUUGUUGUUGCCUUUUUCUUGCUCGUCUCCUUCUUGCAUCUCUUAAUUUCUUUUGUUUCUUUUUUUCGUUGUUGUCACUGAAAGUGUAACCCUAAGACGUUGCAUUGCCUCCCUCGCUUGAGCCAGUGAGACUCUAGGUCUCUUUCCGUUCACCUGAGACAAUGAAACCUUUCGUAGAUCUCGUCCUUUUUUAUUUGUCGAGAAAGUUAUAAAUUGCGUUCUGAGACAAGGUUGUGAAUUCUUCCCUUGAGCGGAGCUCAUUUGCUAGGUCACUUCUGUUCCAUUGUUUUGAUUAUUUUUAUAAUUGUCACAACCAACUUGAGAUCACACAAGAGGAACACUUUGAGAUGCACACAUGCUGUGAUGGAGCAAUCUGGUCAAUGCAUACCUACUACACAACCUUUAAACACUGAACCAACAGCAACUAAAGCAACUGGUGCAAUUGGAUCAUCUCACUCACAACCUGCCAACUUUGACACUUUUUUGCUUUUCUGGAAGUGCAUCCUCUAAGCUGCUAUCACAAUUAUUUUGAAUAGCAUAUAUGUUUGUCUUGCAAGGUCCUGGUUGGAACAUCAUCCAGAACUAUGACAAUUGUUAAAUCAAGUCACUAAAGGUCUAUGCUUUUGGAGUUUGAAGGAUAUCAAUAUGAAUAUUAGAUUUGUUGUCAACUGCAAGGGUAUGAAAAUUAACAACAUAAAGGAUGCUAUUGAAGAACCACUUUGUUGAGGAUUGAUUUGACAUACUAUUGUAGUAGAAGGAGCUUGAUAUUUGAUACAAUGCCAUUUAGUGAUGUUGGGUUGCCUUGCUUUGAACACAAUUAGUUUGUUAUUAUAUUCAGUUUCAGUUGUGUAACAGCUUAGUUGUAAUAGCUUUGAUGACUUAGACAAUUAGACAUGACGAUUAACAUGAUGGUGAAUGAAUGGAUGCCUAGCAACUAUUACUCUAUUUGCUACGAUUGAUUCUUGA